AUUGAACGCUGGCGGCAUGCUUUACACAUGCAAGUCGAACGGCAGCGCGGGCUUCGGCCUGGCGGCGAGUGGCGAACGGGUGAGUAAUGCAUCGGAACGUGCCCAGUAGUGGGGGAUAGCCCGGCGAAAGCCGGAUUAAUACCGCAUACGACCUGAGGGUGAAAGCGGGGGACCGAAAGGCCUCGCGCUAUUGGAGCGGCCGAUGUCGGAUUAGCUGGUUGGUGGGGUAAAGGCUUACCAAGGCGACGAUCCGUAGCUGGUCUGAGAGGACGACCAGCCACACUGGGACUGAGACACGGCCCAGACUCCUACGGGAGGCAGCAGUGGGGAAUUUUGGACAAUGGGGGCAACCCUGAUCCAGCCAUGCCGCGUGCGGGAAGAAGGCCUUCGGGUUGUAAACCGCUUUUGUUCGGGAAGAAAUCCUCUGGGCUAAUACCCCGGGGGGAUGACGGUACCGGAAGAAUAAGCACCGGCUAACUACGUG
rnacentral:rRNA from 1 species